UACGUAGGGACCAAGCGUUGUUCGGAUUUACUGGGCGUAAAGGGCGCGUAGGCGGCGUGGUAAGUCACUUGUGAAAUCUCUGAGCUUAACUCAGAAUGGCCAAGUGAUACUGCUGUGCUAGAGUGCAGAAGGGGCAAUCGGAAUUCUUGGUGUAGCGGUGAAAUGCGUAGAUAUCAAGAGGAACACCUGAGGUGAAGACGGGUUGCUGGGCUGACACUGACGCUGAGGCGCGAAAGCCCAGGGGAGCAAACGGGG
rnacentral:rRNA from 1 species